rnacentral:lncRNA from 1 species
GGAGAGUGAAGGAGAAAUAAAAGAGCAAAGGAAGAAGAAAGAACCGAGAGAAAGAAAAACAAAAAGAAAACCGUGCAUGAGGAAGGAAAACAAAAGGAAAAGAGAGCUGAGUUGAGGGGCUGUUUUGCUACCAUUCAAGAAGGGAAAGAGAGCCAUUUGAGGGUUGAUUUUGGAGGCUGGAAAGUGCCAUUUUUCUGCUGGUUUUGGAGGUUGGAAAGUGCCAUUUUUCUGCUGAUUUUGGAGGCCAAAAAGUGCAGAAUUUUGCAGCAGAAAAUUAAAGUUUUGAGGUGCUGUUUUGGGUGGUUAAUUGUGGUUGUUUUGGCUGCAAAUUUUUGGAGAGCAAGGUGCAGCUUAGCUGCCGAAAUUUUAAGGAAAAACAGAGCAGCAAAGCUGCUGAUUUUGAAGCUAAAGUAAGCAGCUUUAGCUGCUGAAAAUUGAAGGAUAAAAAGGCAAGAAAGUGUGGCCUUUGGUGAGAGAAAGAGAGAGGAAGAAAUUGGACAGCUUUUGUACGUGAGAAAGGAGAAAGAAAGACAAGCAAGAAGCUGCUGGACGGUGGGAG